UACGUAGGGGGCAAGCGUUGUCCGGAUUUAUUGGGCGUAAAGAGCGUGUAGGCGGUUAGGUAGGUCCGUUGUGAAAACUCGAGGCUCAACCUCGAGAUGUCGGCGGAAACCACUUGGCUAGAGUCCGGAAGAGGAGAGUGGAAUUCCUGGUGUAGCGGUGAAAUGCGUAGAUAUCGUAAGGAAGACCAGUGGCGAAGGCGGGUCGUCUGGACAGUUCCUGACGCUGAGGCACGAAGGCCAGGGGAGCAAACGGG
rnacentral:rRNA from 1 species